UCGAGGCCGGAGGAGACUCGUCAUCGGAGCUCGACGGUGCCGGGAAGCUAGAUCUGGUCGGGAGGUUCUGUCCGUUGGGUUCUGCGGCUGAGCGUCGCCGGCGAGGUGGCUAAGGCACUGUGGGGAGCAAGAUUCGCGUCGGCUCCCAACCGAUUGACUUCCGCUCUUCUCUCCUCACGCUGCUCACAGAAGGAUUUGCAUCUUCUCCAGCCAGAUCAGGUUGUGCGGCAUCUUUUGGAGAAGAAAGACCCAUCGUUGGAGAGGGUUCUUGGCCAAUGGCUAUAGGUUCUUGGCUGAGAUCACCAAGCGCUCACUAAGAGCAAAGCCGAGCAUCUGGUUCCAAUUCGGUGGUGUUGAAUUCUUGAUCCGAAUUGUGGAGUGGAUCCAGCAAGGUGCUGUUCAGUGGGUUGUCUAGCUCCAGCAACAGCUACCCUUCCUGGCAGCACCACUUCUUCGUGUGGAUCAACAUAUCAGAGCUAGGAAUUAAGAGGAGUGAAUUCCAAAUAGGUUCUGUUCUGUCCUGUUUUGUGGAUUGGUUGGCUUCAGCAGUAACUCAUCUUGGUCUCGGCAGCAACAAUCCUCUUG